CCUACGGGUGGCAGCAGUGAGGAAUAUUGGUCAAUGGUCGGGAGACUGAACCAGCCAAGCCGCGUGAGGGAGGAAGGUACAGAGUAUCGUAAACCUCUUUUGUCAGGGAACAAAGACUGGGACGCGUCCCCGGAUGAGUGUACCUGAAGAAAAAGCAUCGGCUAACUCCGUGCCAGCAGCCGCGGUAAUACGGAGGAUGCGAGCGUUAUCCGGAUUUAUUGGGUUUAAAGGGUGCGCAGGCGGUCUGUUAAGUCAGCGGGCAAAGCCCGGGGCUCAACCCCGGCCCGCCGUUGAAACUGGCAGUCUCGAGUUGGAGAGAAGUAUGCGGAAUGCGCGGUGUAGCGGUGAAAUGCAUAGAUAUCGCGCAGAACUCCGAUUGCGAAGGCAGCAUGCCGGCUCCACACUGACGCUGAGGCACGAAAGCGUGGGUAUCGAACAGGAUUAGAUACCCUGGUAGUC
rnacentral:rRNA from 1 species